CCUGAAUCUAGUCUUUCUGAGCUGGAGAUAUGUGGCCCAAGGGGGAAGUAGCUUGAGGUGCCACUGACUUUGUUGUUCUACAGCCACUGGGAUCUGCUGUAGGUCCUUGGAUAACUCUAAGCACUCAGUCCCUUGGAUGUGCUCAGGUCUGAAACUUAAAGACAUGAUUGCUUAUUGCCUUCAGAAGCAGCAGGGCUGCUGGGAAAAUACUUGGGAUGCCCAAACAGUUCUUCUUUACUUGACCCUGCUCUUCAUGGGAAGGAAGAAGAGGUGCAACUUGUUCUGCAGGACCUUCCCACUCAGCUGUCAAGAGAUGCCUGCCAGCUUUUCUCCUCUGGAGGAGAUCAAGACAGGAUGAUUUUGAUGACAUUACUGAAUUGACAACAGAAAGAGGUGGCAGCCAUAUCAACUUCAAAUCUUCGAGGAAAAGAUGGGACUCCAAAAAUAUUCCUCUUCUCUGUGGGUUUCCUUGCCAAGAAGUUAAGUGCAACCUUACAUUAAGCAGAUGGAGGCUUCUGCCUGUCCUCUCUUCAGCUGCUCUAGUCAUAUUUUCUUCUGCACAAAGCCCUGUCCUUGGCGCUGCAGGUAGGUUUCCAGGGACAUGCCCAGCAAGGCAGGAUCAUGUCUGAGAGCAGUGAUCUCCUCAGAUCUUUUGUGCCACCCCAUACUGCACUGUUCAUGGUAAAUGUGUACAGUGACCCCCUGGGAAUAAAGGGCUGUACACCCAACACAGUUCCAAGCUUGCCAAGAGGGAAAGGGCAGCUUUGCUGGAGUGGUGCCUGGAGACAUUUCCUGUUGCAACUUACUGACAGCUGACAGAAUGGCAUGAAAAAGAAAGUGAAAAGAAGUAUUCAGAAUGCAAAGACCUCAGUUCUGCAGUUGUGUCCAGGGAUUUUCUGCAUCACAUCUCAGCAGCACUCUGUCCACCUCAGUGCAACGGAUGUGCAGCUCAGACAUACGUGUAAAUGCACACUCAUUGCAUGCCUAACUAGAUUUUACAAAGCUUUUCAGGCUUUAAAGAAAGGUUAAUAUGUUUGUUCUGCUUGGCAUCUGAGUCAGACAUAACUGGUGAGCACACAGAAGGACGGCUCCACUCAGUCCCCUGAGAUGUGCUUGCUGCCAUGUUCCCCUGCCACCAGGCAGAACAAGCAGGUUGCUUCUAGCCAUGGUGAUUUACCUCUCUUUCCUUUAGAAAUGAAUCCCCUCAGAGGGCACACAGGGUAUUUCCCAACUGGGAUUAUGGUGACUCUGGUCAGAUUUACUGAAUAUGUUCAUCCUGUCUUCUGCUCCUCUUCCUGCAGGAUUUCAGUUCACAUGAGUAGGGAUUAGGCCUUUGCCUCUCUUUUCUUCCUUGGCAGGACUAGCUGCAAGGUAACUGUGCCCUCCUUGCUCCAGAGGCAGGCCCACACACUCUGCAGCAUGGCUCAGCAUGGCAAAGCUUGGCUUGGCAUGGCACAGCACAGCAUAGCUGGGUUGCCCACUGGAGGUGGAUGCAGAUGGAGGAGAACUUGCAGCAUCAUGCCCUCAAUCAUUACAGCCAGGCAGGCUGGUGUUUGCAGGCCAGUCUUUCACUGUACUUUAGCUGCUCACCCCUUGUGAGAUUACAGAAGGAAAUGAAAACACAAAGUUGGAGCACUGGCAAGUGAAGCUGGCAGCAAUGAGCAGCUCCCCAGCAGUCUGCAGUGCCAUCCUAUCCCCAGCCUCUCCCUGCCUAUGUGUCAUUCUAAUAUAGCCUACGUUCUGUUUUUGUGUUUAUUUUCCCCCAGUUUUCUACCCAAAGGCAAAAUUCAGCUCUGACACCAGCACGUUGCUUUGCUCUCUCCCAGCCCAGAGCUCCCUGUUGCUGAUGGGGUGCAGCAGCAACCCUGGGACGACUGUUACAAUCCUACCACAGGACAAUCAGAAUGCCUUCCAGAUAUGUAGUGCAAGAUACUUGGAACAGCUACAAAAAUGUGGAAGUGCAAGAUGGUGUGCAUAUUAGAUUGGAAUACUGAUUAGAUCCAGAAAUAAAGGGCUAGAUUAGCUAAAGUAGUUGGGAAGCCAGCAUUUUGUGUCAUUUAUUAUUCCUUGGCUAGCUUGAAUUGGAAGAGGAACUGACUGAAUGUUUAAGUGACAUGUUGUGACAUACCAGUGCUGUUUGUGUCAGAGGUUUUGGCAGAGGACUUACACAGAACAGGGAGCAGGCAUGCCUGGUGCAGUGUGUGAGAGCCAGGCAGCAGAGGCACCGGGAGUUUGGGGACAGAGGUUGGUGGUGACAACCUGCAUAUGGAGGCGCCUCGAGCCACCCAUCAGGAAGUACUACAGCCCCUGCAGGGCUCUGAGCACCAAACACCUGCUGCUGAUAUAGCCUUGCAUCAGGGAAAGUGGUCAAGGCCUACGGAGGAAGCUCUGCAUGGAAAGACUUCUCUGCUGGAAAAGUGGGGCAUGUUGAGACAAAGCCCGAAAGGUUGCGGAGGGGUGAUCUCUCGCUGGGCUCUAUCCUUCCAUGCACAGCUCCUCUUGCUCACUCAGCCACUUGCAGGGUAUUUCUGAACAUUAUAAUUUAACCCCCUGUCUGCCAGCUUCUGCUGAGCCCACCAGAGCAAGGCUGGCGUGUUAGUC